UGUGUUGCAGUAGUAAUUCAACAUCCUAGUAUGAGAGGAACCAUUGAUUCGCACAAUUUGGUCAUCACGCUUGAUUGCAAAGCCAGUGGCUUAAAGCUACCGUGCACUGGAUUAUGACUGAACGCCUCUAAGUCAGAAUUUGGAUUAGAAACGAUACA
rfam:Gossypium hirsutum cultivar TM-1 unplaced genomic scaffold scaffold72.1, whole genome shotgun sequence